AAGUCGUAACAAGGUUUCCGUAGGUGAACCUGCGGAAGGAUCAUUAACGAAGACUUGGGCGGGCGCGUCUCGCGCGCGCCCUUCUCGUCGUCCACCCUGUGCACCGAGACCUUUUUUGCGCUCCAAAUGACGAGGAUGAUAACGAAAUAAAAAUGGCACAAAAUGAAGCAACGGAUCUCUUGGCUCUC
rnacentral:misc_RNA from 1 species